UGUUGAACAACAAAGCCAGGAGGAAGAGUCGCAGCCAGGGGGAUUUUGGGAAUCGUAGUUUUAAAUAAUCCGGCUUCACAAUCUGUGCUUGACGGCCUCGGGUUACCUGUGGACCCCUCUUGCCAGGGCUUCAAGUUUCCAAACCUGAUAUAAUAUUCCAUUUGGAACAAAGGUGAGAUUUAUGGAUCCUGGAGAGAGAUAUCCCAAGAGAUACUUUUCCAGGUGCGGAGUCAAAAAAAAAAAAAGGCCCUCUUCAAAAAUUAUCAAUGGAUUGGAAACCUUUGAUAUGAUAAAAUGGGACAUCCAAGAUACAGUUGUCUCCUACCUUGAAUCAUGUCAGCAAAGUCAUCACCUAGCUCCUGCAAUUCUCAAAGUGUGAUCCUUCAACCUCUGGGAUUUUCCAAGACCCUUUCAGGAGAUCCUCAACAUCAAAACUAUUUUUAUAAUAAUAAUAAGUUAUUUGCCUAUUAAAAUAUCCUUCCCUUUUUCAACUACAUGUCUGUGUCAGAAUACAUUUUCUUCAUAUUCUUCAACCAAAACAUAUCACAAACAGAUUGAAUUCAGAUAUGAGAAUCCAUCUGUUUUCUAUUCAGCCAGACAUUAAAGAGAUUGGGAAAAAUAUGUAAAACAAUGCCACUCAUGACUAUAUGUAUUUUUUGUUAUGGAAAAAAUAUAUUUUUAAAGUCUAUGUUAACAUGCU
rnacentral:lncRNA from 1 species